UACGAAGGGGGCUAGCGUUGCUCGGAAUUACUGGGCGUAAAGGGCGCGUAGGCGGAUAGUUUAGUCAGAGGUGAAAGCCCAGGGCUCAACCUUGGAAUUGCCUUUGAUACUGGCUGUCUUGAGUACGGGAGAGGUAAGUGGAACUGCGAGUGUAGAGGUGAAAUUCGUAGAUAUUCGCAAGAACACCAGUGGCGAAGGCGGCUUACUGGUCCGGAUCUGACGCUGAGGCGCGAAAGCGUGGGGAGCAAACAGG
rnacentral:rRNA from 1 species